GACGAACCGUGCGAACGUUGUUCGGAAUCACUGGGCUUAAAGGGCGCGUAGGCGGGCUGACAAGUCUGGGGUGAAAUCCCGCGGCUCAACCGUGGAACUGCCUUAGAUACUGUCGGCCUCGAGGAAGGUAGGGGCAUGCGGAACUGUAGGUGGAGCGGUGAAAUGCGUUGAUAUCUACAGGAACUCCGGUGGCGAAAGCGGCGUGCUGGACCUUUUCUGACGCUGAGGCGCGAAAGCUAGGGGAGCAAGCGGG
rnacentral:rRNA from 1 species